GAUGAACGCUGGCGGCGUGCCUAAUACAUGCAAGUCGAGCGAACGGACGAGAAGCUUGCUUUUCUGAUGUUAGCGGCGGACGGGUGAGUAACACGUGGAUAACCUACCUAUAAGACUGGGAUAACUUCGGGAAACCUGAUCUAAUACCGGAUAAUAUUUUGAACCGCAUGGUUCAAAAGUGAAAGACGGUCUUGCUGUCACUUAUAGAUGUAUCCUCGCUGCAUUAGCUAGUUGGUAAGGUAACGGCUUACCAAGGCAACGAUGCAUAGCCGACCUGAGAGGGUGAUCGGCCACACUGGAACUGAGACACGGUCCAGACUCCUACGGGAGGCAGCAGUAGGGAAUCUUCCGCAAUGGGCGAAAGCCUGACGGAGCAACGCCGCGUGAGUGAUGAAGGUCUUCGGAUCGUAAAACUCUGUUAUUAGGGAAGAACAGAUGUGUAAGUAACUGUGCACAUCUUGACGGUACCUAAUCAGAAAGCCACGGCUAACUACGUG
rnacentral:rRNA from 1 species